UACGAAGGGGGCUAGCGUUGCUCGGAAUCACUGGGCGUAAAGGGUGCGUAGGCGGGUCUUUAAGUCAGGGGUGAAAUCCCGGAGCUCAACUCCGGAACUGCCUUUGAUACUGGGUGUCUUGAGUGUGGAAGAGGUGAGUGGAAUUCCCAGUGUAGAGGUGAAAUUCGUAGAUAUUGGGAAGAACACCGGUGGCGAAGGCGGCGACCUGGUCCGAUACUGACGCUGAGGCGCGAAAGCGUGGGGAGCAAACAGG
rnacentral:rRNA from 1 species